UACUCCCUGUGUCGUCCGUUCGGCCGUCUCAGAUUUGAUCAUGGCUCAGGACGAACGCUGGCGGCGUGCUUAACACAUGCAAGUCGAACGAUGAACCGGAGCUUGCUCCGGGGAUUAGUGGCAACGGGUGAGUAACACGUGGGCAACCUGCCCCAGACACCGGGAUAACCUUCCGAAAGGAUGGCUAAUACCGGAUACGACCACUUCGGGCAUCCGACGGUGGUGGAAAGGAUUCUGGUCUGGGAUGGGCCCGCGGCCUAUCAGCUUGUUGGUGGGGGUAAUGGCCUACCAAGGCGACGACGGGUAGCCGGCCUGAGAGGCGACCGGCCACACUGGGACUGAGACACGGCCCAGACUCCUACGGGAGGCAGCAGUGGGGAAUAUUGCGCAAUGGGCGAAAGCCUGACGCAGCGACGCCGCGUGAGGGACGAAGGUCUUCGGAUUGUAAACCUCUUUCAGCAGGGACGAAGCGAAAGUGACUGUACCUGCAGAAGAAGCACCGGCCAACUACGUG
rnacentral:rRNA from 1 species